GGUUCCAUAGUAUAGUGGUUAUCACAUCUGCUUUACACGCAGAAGGUCCUGGGAUCAAAACCCAGUGGAACCA
rfam:Larimichthys crocea isolate SSNF unplaced genomic scaffold scaffold175, whole genome shotgun sequence.